GAUGAACGCUGGCGGCGUGCCUAAUACAUGCAAGUCGAGCGAACAGACGAGGAGCUUGCUCCUUUGACGUUAGCGGCGGACGGGUGAGUAACACGUGGAUAACCUACCUAUAAGACUGGGAUAACUUCGGGAAACCGGAGCUAAUACCGGAUAAUAUAUUGAACCGCAUGGUUCAAUAGUGAAAGAUGGUUUUGCUGUCACUUAUAGAUGGAUCCGCGCCGCAUUAGCUAGUUGGUAAGGUAACGGCUUACCAAGGCAACGAUGCGUAGCCGACCUGAGAGGGUGAUCGGCCACACUGGAACUGAGACACGGUCCAGACUCCUACGGGAGGCAGCAGUAGGGAAUCUUCCGCAAUGGGCGAAAGCCUGACGGAGCAACGCCGCGUGAGUGAUGAAGGUCUUCGGAUCGUAAAACUCUGUUAUUAGGGAAGAACAAAUGUGUAAGUAACUAUGCACGUCUUGACGGUACCUAAUCAGAAAGCCACGGCUAACUACGUG
rnacentral:rRNA from 1 species